rnacentral:lncRNA from 1 species
GGACGCUAUGGGGCAGGACGCUAUGGGGCAGGAUUCUAUGGGGCAGGACACGAGGACGCCGUGGGUCAGGCCAGACCAUUUAUUGCCAUGGGGUCAGACCCCUAUGGGGCAGAGCCCUAUAGGGCAGCCCGCUAUGGGGCGGGCCGCUAUGGGGCAGGCCGCUAUGGGGCAGGAUUCUAUGGGUCAGACCCCUAUGGGGCAGACCGCUAUGGGGCAGACCCCUAUAGGGCAGACCGCUAUGGGGCGGGCCGCUAUGGGGCGGGCCGCUAUGGGGCAGGCCGCCGUGGGUCGCUCAGUGCUCGUAGCCGUGGGGCAGGGGGUUGGUGUGGGGGUUGUGGAACAGCGUGUGCUGCCCGUCGCCCCACGGGAACGGCUGCGGGGACGGGGACGGGGUCAGUGGGGCGGACCCAGAGGGGCCCCAUAGGACCCAUAG